rnacentral:rRNA from 1 species
UCUGCGAAAGUGGAGCUAAUACCGGAUAGUCUGGCUUUAAAUAAGAAGUCGGUAAAGGAUGCCUCUGCAUAUGCAUUCGUCCGAGGAUGAGCCCGCGUCUCAUUAGCUAGUUGGUAGGGUAAUGGCCUACCAAGGCAACGAUGAGUAGCUGGUCUGAGAGGAUGAUCAGCCACACUGGAACUGAAACACGGUCCAGACUCCUACGGGAGGCAGCAGUGGGGAAUAUUGCGCAAUGGGCGAAAGCCUGACGCAGCAACGCCGUGUGAGGGAUGAAGGCUUUCGGGUCGUAAACCUCUGUCGGAAGGGAAGAACGGGCAUUGGUCUAAUAGGCCUUUGUUUUGACGGUACCUUUAGAGGAAGCACCGGCUAACUCCGUGCCAGCAGCCGCGGUAAUACGGAGGGUGCAAGCGUUAUUCGGAAUUACUGGGCGUAAAGCGCACGUAGGCGGCCUUGUAAGUCAGGGGUGAAAUCCCACGGCUCAACCGUGGAACUGCCUUUGAAACUGCAGGGCUUGAAUCCUGGAGAGGGUGGCGGAAUUCCUGGUGUAGGAGUGAAAUCCGUAGAUAUCAGGAGGAACACCGGUGGCGAAGGCGGCCACCUGGACAGGUAUUGACGCUGAGGUGCGAAAGUGUGGGGAGCAAACAGGAUUAGAUACCCUGGUAGUCCACACCGUAAACGAU